CCUACGGGGGGCUGCAGUGGGGAAUAUUGGACAAUGGGGGGAACCCUGAUCCAGCGACGCCGCGUGAGUGAAGAAGUAUUUCGGUAUGUAAAGCUCUAUCAGCAGGGAAGAAAGAACUGACGGUACCUGACUAAGAAGCCCCGGCUAACUACGUGCCAGCAGCCGCGGGAAUACGUAGGGGGCAAGCGUUCUCCGGAUUUACUGGGUGUAAAGGGAGCGUAGACGGUUACGCAAGUCUGGAGUGAAAGGUGGGGGCCCAACCCCCGGACAGCUUUUGAAACUGUAUGACUGGAGUGCAGGAGAGGUAAGUGGAAUGCGUGGUGUAGCGGUGAAAUGCGUAGAUAUUAGGAGGAACACCAGUGGCGAAGGCGGCUUACUGGACUGUAACUGACGUUGAGGCUCGAAAGCGUGGGGAGCAAACAGGAUUAGAUACCCUUGUAGUC
rnacentral:rRNA from 1 species